ACAUACGGGAGAGAUCAACCACUCAAAAAAAAAAAACCGGAGAGAUCAACAGACGGCCGGCCGGAACAUGCCCGCUCGUCGGGACUCGGGAGUACCGACCAAUCCUCGCCGCCUGCCGAUCAGAAAAGCGAGGUGCUCGUGAAGUCGGCUUGAUAUCCGGAGUAGCCAGCAAGCCCAGCCCAGCGGCCGAUCCGUGAUCCGUGUUGGAGAGAGCGAGGGAGAGAAGAUGCGGCCGCGGCUGGUGCUCUUCGGCGACUCAAUCACCGAGCAGUCCUUUGCCCCCGGCGGCUGGGGCGCCGCCCUCGCGGAGCACUUCGCGAGGCAGGCGGAUGUGGUGCUCCGCGGGCUCAGCGGGUACAACACGCGCUGGGCGCUGAAGGUGCUGGACAGAGCCAUGGAGGGGGCGGCCGACGGCGGCGCGGACCCGGCGGCAGUGACGGUGUUCUUCGGCGCCAACGACGCCACCCUGCCCGACGAGGUGCAGGCGCACCAGCACGUGCCGCUCGGGGAGUACAAGGACAACCUGCGCGCGAUCUGUGCCUACUUCAAGAAUAAGUGGCCCUCCGCUGCCAUCAUACUCAUCACCCCUCCACCGAUCCACGAGCCGGCGAGGAUUCGAGACAUAUAUGGAGAUAAUGACCCUUCAAGACAGCCUGAAAGAACAAAUGAAGCUGCUGGCACUUAUGCACAAGCAUGCAUAACUGUUGCUAAAGAACUGGGUCAUCCAGUUAUAGACAUCUGGACGCAGAUGCAGCAAUGUCCUGAUUGGCAAACAUCUGCAUUAAGUGACGGGCUCCAUUUCACCCCGUUCGGGAACAAAAUUUUGUUCGACGAGGUGCUGAAGACACUGGAAAGUGUUGGUUUCAGCCAGCACAGUCUCCGGUCCGAUCUCCCUCUCUUCCAUGAAAUUGACCCCAAGGACCCACUGAAAGCCUUUGAGAUUUGAAGAAGGUAUCUGCCGCAUGGUUGGAUUCCCAGAAGGAAGGCACUAUGACUCAGCUUUAUGUUCUGAAAACAAACUAUGUUGGUUUGGUGACUGAUGUGUUCUGUAACAUGGAUAUAUUGUGCCUAUGUUCUAUGUCAGCAAUGCUCGUGACUUAUUUCGAAGAUGUUGCAUGUAUUUAAGGACUUUUUUUGGAGCUUCUAGAAGGUUUUGGUCUGGCAUAUUUUACGUUUU
rnacentral:rRNA from 1 species